AUCGCUUCUCGGCUCUAUGAGCUAAGAUCAAGCGCAGUAUCUGUUCUUAUCAGUUUAAUAUCUGAUAUGUUUUCUAUUUGAAAAUUAUAUAUUAAAUUGAUUUUUGGAACAGGGAGAUGGAAUAGGAGCUUGCUCCAUCCACUCUCUGCAUUGACCUGGUAUUGCAGUAUUUCCAGGAAUGGUGCACCUCCC
ensembl:snRNA U2 U2 spliceosomal RNA